ACAACUUUCAGCAGUGGAUGUCUAGGCUCGCACAUAGAUGAAGAACGCUGCGAACUGCGAUACGUAAUGCGAAUUGCAGAAUUCAGUGAGUCAUCGAAAUUUUGAACGCAUAUUGCACUUUCGGGUUAUGCCUGGAAGUAUGUCUGUAUCAGUGUCCGUA
rnacentral:rRNA from 1 species